rnacentral:lncRNA from 1 species
UAGUCACAGCUGGGGAGGCCUGGUAGUUAACGCGGGAGACAGCUGGCGCAGCAGCAACAACUGGAGCGGACUGGUAGACCUUAGUGACAGCUGGGGCAGCGAAGGUAGCGACAGAUGGAGCAGACUGGUAGGUGACGUGGGACACAGCUGGAGCAGAAGCGACAACUGGAGCAGCCUGGUA